AAUUUUCCACAAUGGGCGCAAGCCUGAUGGAGCAACGCCGCGUGGGGGAUGACGCUCUUCGGAGUGUAAACCCCUUUUCGGGAGGACGAAGCAAAUGACGGUACUCCCGGAAGCAGGACCGGCUAACUACGUGCCAGCAGCCGCGGUAAGACGUAGGGUCCGAGCGUUGUCCGGAGUUACUGGGCGUAAAGCGCGCGCAGGCGGUUGGUUGCGUCGGGUGUGAAAGCCCCCCGCUCAACGGGGGAGGGUCAUUCGAAACGGGCCAACUGGAGGCAGGGAGAGGUCGGUGGAAUUCCCGGUGUAGUGGUGAUAUGCGUAGAUAUCGGGAGGAACACCAGUGGCGAAGGCGACUACCUGGACGAUAACUGACGCUGAGGCACGAAAGCUAGGGGAGCAAAC
rnacentral:rRNA from 1 species